CACAGUUUCUAUUAAACUCGGGAAGAUAUUCGUUGAAAGAAUUUCUGUUAACGUUGAGCAAUGCAACACAGUUACCCGAAGAGAAUAUUGAUUUGCAGGACAAUUUGGAAAUAGCAGAA